rnacentral:rRNA from 1 species
UGAGGGAAUAUUUGGGGUCAAUGGGCGAGAGCCUGAACCAGCCAAGUCGCGUGAAGGACUACGGCCCUAUGGGUCUUAAACUUCUUUUGUAUAGGGGUAAAGAUAUGUACGUGUACAUAAUUGCAAGUACUAUACGAAUAAGGAUCGGCUGACUCCGUGCCAGCAGCCGCGGUAAUACGGAGGAUCCGAGCGUUAUCCGGAUUUAUUGGGUUUAAAGGGUGCGUAGGCGGGGCAUCAAGUCAGUGGUGAAAUGGUGUGGCUCAACCAUAGCAUUGCCGUUGAAACUGAUACCCUUGGGUGCAGUAGAGGUAUGCGGAAUGUGUUGUGUAGCGGUGAAAUGCAUAGAUAUGACACAGAACACCGAUUGCGAAGGCA